UACGUAGGGUGCAAGCGUUGUCCGGAAUUAUUGGGCGUAAAGAGCUCGUAGGCGGUUUGUUGCGUCGGCUGUGAAAUCCCGAGGCUCAACCUCGGGUCUGCAGUCGAUACGAGCAAACUAGAGUGUUGCAGGGGAGACUGGAAUUCCUGGUGUAGCGGUGAAAUGCGCAGAUAUCAGGAGGGAACACCGGUGGCGAAGGCGGGUCUCUGGGCAACAACUGACGCUGAGGAGCGAAAGCGUGGGGAGCGAACAGG
rnacentral:rRNA from 1 species